GAUUCCCCUAGUAACUGCGAGUGAAGCGGGAAAAGCUCAAAUUUAAAAUCUGGCAGUGGUUCACUGCCCGAGUUGUAAUCUAGAGAAGUGUUGCUCACACUGGACCAUGUAUAAGUCUUCUGGAAUGAAGCGUCAUAGAGGGUGAGAAUCCCGUCUUUGACAUGGACUCCCAGUGUAUUUGUAGCAUGCUCUCAAAGAGUCGAGUUGUUUGGGAAUGCAGCUCUAAAUGGGUGGUAACCUCCAUCUAAAGCUAAAUAUUGGCGAGAGACCGAUAGUGAACAAGUACCGUGAGGGAAAGAUGAAAAGAACUUUGGAAAGAGAGUUAAAAAGUACGUGAAAUUGUUGAAAGGGAAACGCUUGAAGUCAGUCACAUUGGCCAGGGAUCAACUUGCUUAAGUGUACUUCCUGGCUGAUGGGCCAACAUCAGCUUUGACUGUCAGAGAAGGGUAGGGGGAAUGUGGCACCCUUCUUGGGUGUGUUAUAGCCCUCUGUCAUAUAUGGCGGUUGGGGCUGAGGAAUGCAGCGCGCCACAAGGCCGGGUWUCGACCAC
rnacentral:rRNA from 1 species